rnacentral:rRNA from 1 species
GACGAACGCUGGCGGCGUGCUUAACACAUGCAAGUCGAACGGAAAGGCCCUGCUUUUGUGGGGUGCUCGAGUGGCGAACGGGUGAGUAACACGUGAGUAACCUGCCCUUGACUUUGGGAUAACUUCAGGAAACUGGGGCUAAUACCGGAUAGGAGCUCCUGCUCCAUGGUGGGGGUUGGAAAGUUUCGGCGGUUGGGGAUGGACUCGCGGCUUAUCAGCUUGUUGGUGGGGUAGUGGCUUACCAAGGCUUUGACGGGUAGCCGGCCUGAGAGGGUGACCGGCCACAAUGGGACUGAGAUACGGCCCAGACUCCUACGGGAGGCAGCAGGGGGGAAUAUUGCACAAUGGGCGGAAGCCUGAUGCAGCAACGCCGCGGGCGGGAUGACGGCCUUCGGGUUGUAAACCGCUUUCGCCUGUGACGAAGCGUGAGUGACGGUAAUGGGUAAAGAAGCACCGGCUAACUACGUG